UUCUUCAAUGAGUCCUUCAUCUCACAUAUACAGUACAGAUGGCACUUGGUUGCUACAAACGGGACUAUAAUUAUCAACCCAGUAACAAAGAGAGACUCAGGAACAUACAGACUAGAGAUCAACAAUGAUGAAACAGGGGAAACUGUGGCAAAUACCACAAUACAGCUGAUUGUUUUUGGGGAAAUAAUUAUUUAUUUUUUCACUACUCAACUGAGUCACGAUAAUUGGCAUAACAUAAACUAAUAGCAUUUCUGUCCAGGUCCAAUAGUUAUAACACUUUUUAUUAAAAACUUUUUUUUUCAAGAGAAUAUUCCUUUCAACUGAGAAAACAAUGACAAUACAACAUCAUAUAAAUACAGCACAAAUCAACCCAUAAUCUAUACGGUUUUCACACGUUGUCAAAAUGUCAAUAUUUAUCCACUAAUAAUGCAUUUUUCUCAGGUACACACAGUACUGUGAGAUCCAUUUUGACUGACAGGACCGACAACCCCAACAUGACGGAAACACGUGUUUACAUGGUCAGUUUAAUAGCAGCUUCACUUGGCGUGGUCCUGCUGUGUGUGACUGUGUAUGGGGGAGUAUACUACGUCUGCCAGAGGAGGACACACACACCCAAACCAGCUGAGUGUGUUGAAGUGGUGUAUGCUGAGAUCAACGUGCUGAAAAAAAAGAACAAGCAGCCAGAACAGAGAAUGAGGGAGGAGGAGGGCGGAGAAUAUUCGACCCAUACGAGUUUUUCAGUGGCCGAGGCCCAUGCUGAUGCCGAUAUUUAGAGAGAAGGGUGGCCGAUGGCCGAUAUAUAUCAUGUACGCAACAUUUGUGUGUGUGUGGGGGGGAUUGCAUCUGAGAACAUACUGACAAUUUAAUCAAAAAAUUACAAAAUUGCUGAACUUAAAUGUAUUUAAUACUGUUAUUGUCUGCAUUGUCUCUGUUUGCUUAUGUAGGUCUGCACUUUGCACUCUGCUUAUUAUUUUAAAUUAAAAAAAAAUGUCCACAAGUAAUCAAAAAACUAAACUCUGUAGAAAAAAACCUGACCCAUAUCUCAGUUGCCCUCUAGAUACAAUAUAAGAUUACUAGACUAGUCCUUUAAUAUUCUUAACGGGUGCUUUCUCACUGGUUACACAACCGUUUGUAACUAACGUUGGGUUUCUUAUAACUAUCAAAUGAAUCGCUUACGAUAGCAGAUUGUUGACUCGAGAUGAGAGGAGGGGUUCAUCAACCAGUCUUCAUUCUCUGCCUCAGCUGACUGCAGGUGCUGCUGGCUUUUCCCCCUUGAGAAUAGUUCUGCUAGCUGGCUAUUAAUGUUACUCUACUGGUGGCAAGCUUUGCAAUGGCGUGCGCAUGUAUAUGAGCUCCAUCUAUGCAGAAAAUAUGUUUAUGUUAUGUAACAUGCUUAACAGCGCCAGACCACAUGCUCACCAACAAUACAAGGUUUCACAGUUACACUUGCAGAUGUGUCUGCAGACAUUUUUUUGAUAAUCGUCUUGUGAGCGCAGGCAUCGGCUGGUGUCGAUUAACUCAAAAUGCUGGAUAUCAGCCCGAUUAAACUGUGGUCAUAAUGCUUAUGAAAUGAAUGAGUGGUUGAAUAUUUUGAUGCCUCAUCUUGAAGAAUAAUACAAUGCAAAAACAUAAUAAUAACAAUAACAACAAUAGCUGUAACUUCCUUUUAUUUUUUUCCAAACAGAGCAAAGUUUUUCAUAAGGCAGGUGAAUGAUAAAAGGCAAAUGGAGUUAACAACACUGACAUACCUUAAGAGGGAUGGCACAAUA